rnacentral:rRNA from 1 species
GAUGAACGCUGGCGGCGUGCCUAAUACAUGCAUGUCGAGCGAACGGACGAGAAGCUUGCUUCUCUGAUGUUAGCGGCGGACGGGUGAGUAACACGUGGAUAACCUACCUAUAAGACUGGGAUAACUUCGGGAAACCGGAGCUAAUACCGGAUGAUAUUUUGAACCGCAUGGUUCAAACGUGAAAGACGGUCUUGCUGUCACUUAUAGAUGGAUCCGCGCUGCAUUAGCUAGUUGGUAAGGUAACGGCUUACCAAGGCAACGAUGCAUAGCCGACCUGAGAGGAUGAUCGGCCACACUGGAACUGAGACACGGUCCAGACUCCUACGGGAGGCAGCAGUAGGGAAUCUUCGGCAAUGGGCGAAAGCCUGACGGAGCAACGCCGCGUGAGUGAUGAAGGUCUUCGGAUCGUAAAACUCUGUUAUUAGGGAAGAACAUAUGUGUAAGUAACUGUGCACAUCUUGACGGUACCUAAUCAGAAAGCCACGGCUAACUACGUG